GUGGGUGUAGCUCAGCGGUAGAGCGUCGGACUGUGGCUCCGAAUGUCGCGGGUUCGAACCCCGUCAUCCACC
rnacentral:tRNA from 1 species